UACUUCUACGUCCGGUUACUCGAUUUGAUUGGAAGACGGAGCACACUCCCCUGUCAUACGUCACUACUGCGCUCCCCUCAACCCGGACAGACAUGGCGGCGUACAUGAUCACUUCAACCCUGCGAAGAGUUUUGCUUGUUGCUAAGCAUGCCUCUUUCCAGUCCAGAUGCUGUGUGGCGUCCAGUCGAGUCCAGUACUCCACUGUUUAUGAUUCCAAUGAGAAGACCUUUGAUAAGAUCCUUAUUGCAAACAGAGGAGAGAUCGCCUGCAGGGUGAUGAAAACAUGUAAGAAGAUGGGUAUCAAAACAGUGGCGGUGCACAGUGAUGUCGACGCCAGCGCGGUCCAUGUGAAGAUGGCUGACGAGGCAGUGUGUGUAGGCCCCGCCCCCACCAACAAGAGCUACCUCAACAUGGACGCCAUCAUGGACGCUAUCAGGAAGACUGGAUCCCAGGCCGUGCAUCCAGGCUACGGUUUUCUGUCUGAAAAUAAAGAGUUUGCCAAGAGACUGGCAGCAGAAGACGUGGUGUUCAUAGGACCGGACACCCACGCCAUCCAUGCCAUGGGCGACAAGAUCGAGAGCAAGCUCCUAGCCAAGGCAGCCAAUGUCAACGUCAUCCCUGGGUUCGACGGGGUCGUCGAGAACGUGGAGGACGCUGUGAAGAUUGCAGGAGACAUCGGCUACCCGGUGAUGAUCAAGGCCUCAGCAGGAGGAGGGGGAAAAGGCAUGAGGAUCGCCUGGAACGAUGAUGAGACCAGGGAAGGUUUUCGUUUGUCCUCACAGGAGGCUGCGUCUAGUUUCGGAGACGACCGUCUGCUGAUAGAGAAGUUUGUAGACAACCCCAGACACAUUGAGAUCCAGGUCCUGGCUGAUAAGCAUGGUAAUGCUCUGUGGCUGAACGAGAGGGAGUGUUCUAUCCAGAGGAGGAACCAGAAGGUGGUGGAGGAGGCUCCAAGUACGUUCCUGGACCCAGAGACGCGUCGUGCGAUGGGGGAGCAAGCGGUACAGCUGGCUAAAGCAGUCCACUACUCCUCUGCCGGGACCGUAGAGUUCUUGGUGGACUCCAACAAGAACUUCUACUUCCUGGAGAUGAACACUCGCCUUCAGGUGGAGCACCCAAUCACAGAGUGCAUCACUGGUCUGGACCUGGUGCAGCAGAUGAUCCGUGUGGCCAAGGGUUUCCCUCUGCUACACAAACAGGAAGACAUCCCCAUCAACGGCUGGGCUAUAGAGAGCCGAGUCUACGCUGAGGACCCCUACAAGUCCUUUGGCCUGCCCUCCAUUGGACGCCUGUCACAGUACCAGGAACCCAUCAACCUCCCAAAGGUGCGUGUGGACAGUGGCAUCCAAGAAGGAAGUGACAUCAGUAUCUACUAUGACCCAAUGAUCUCCAAGCUGGUGACCUAUGGCGCCACGCGCGCUGAAGCCCUGCAGAGGAUGGAGGCGGCUCUCGAUAACUAUGUCAUCAGAGGUGUGACCCACAACAUCCCCCUGCUCAGAGAGAUCAUCACCCACCCUCGCUUCAUCUCUGGUGACAUCACCACUAACUUCCUGCCAGAGGAAUACCCAGAGGGGUUCAAAGGUCACCAGCUGACCUCCGAGGGUCGCAGGGAGCUCGUCUCCACCGCAGCCGCUCUCUACGUCUCCGCACAGCUCCGCUCCCAGAGGUUCCUGGGUAAUCUCAGGGUGUCCACCACCCCCCAGGAGCAGAGGCAGUGGGAGCUGUGUGUGGAGUUGGAGAAGGGAAGCCACACGGUCGCUGUGUCACGCUCUGGAUCCACGUUCACUGUGGAGGUGGAUGGAGUUACGGUGGAGGUUAGUGGAGAGUGGAACCUGGCCUCAGCCCUGCUGCCUGUCACCAUCAACAGAACCCCCAGGGUUCUACAGUGUCUGUCUAGAGACGCAGGAGGAGACAUCACUCUACAGUACCUGGGCACACAGUUUAAGGUGCGUGUUCUCAGUCAGCUGGUAUCCACGCUGAGCGCUCACAUGCCUGAGAAGGUUCCAGAAGACACCAGCAGCAUCCUGCGUUCUCCGAUGCCUGGCUCCGUGGUCGCCGUGUCUGUCAAACCUGGAGACGUGGUGGCUGAAGGCCAGGAGAUCUGUGUGAUCGAGGCCAUGAAGAUGCAGAACAGCUUGAUUGCUGCUAAAGCUGCCAAGGUGAAGAGUGUCCACUGUAAAGCAGGAGAGACGGUUGGAGAGGGAGACCUUCUGGUCCAACUGGAGUAGGAUCUAACCUACGACCUCUAACCUCUGCCCUCCCACCUCUGACCUCGCUCGCCAGGGAUUGGCUUCGAAGUCCGGUUGAAGGAAUUCUGGGACAAAGGAAUGAACAGGAUACUAGUAGACUAGAUGGACCGUUCCCCAGUCUCUCCUUGUUGUUUUGUUCUGAUGUAGGCUACACUCUCCAGUAUUGGCUUCUGGGAUUCGCUCGUUCUAGGAAUUUUCCUCUGAAAAAAACUGAAAAACAAGAUGGACGCCGUGGACCUGUUUUAGUGCCUUCAGCCUCUGAAAAGAGGAUUGUCCUGUUAAAUAUGAUGAACACUGUAUAUAUCACUUAGCUACAUGUCACUAAUCAUGUGUAAUGUUCUUCCUCACCAGCCUGGCGCCUCUCAUUUCAACGUAAAGAAACACUUGUGUAUCAGAGUUUAGAAACCUGGUUAUAGUAAAACGCUACUCUCUUAGGUGGAGUUACGUUUGUCUUUUUAAAGGAUAUGUCUCAACCCCAAUUUCAGCCUUUGUCUAACCCCUUGACAUUGUUAAGAAAAAAAUGCAUUCAGGUGAGAAGUUGUGGAUGUGGGGGGGACUUGCUCAUAA